AUAUAAUGAAACAACAUUGUGGAGAGGAAAGCAUUAGGGGAGCCCACGGCUACGAAAACAAGUGAGUGAGAAGAGGUGGGAGGAAGAGAAACUACGCCACCUCCCCUGCAGCCGAGCCGCACGCAGCAGCCAGCGAGAAGUGGGCGACGCCGGGGGGGUGGGGUGGGGGGGCAGGGGGACGGGGUCCUCAGCCCCGGCCCGGGGGACCCCGCCGCCCACCGCGGAGAGAACAACUUUCAGCCGGCAGCCUCGGCCACCACCGCACCUGUCUCCGGAGCCUCCAUCGCUCCUCGUGACGAUCAAAGGGAAAUUCUAGAAGAAUAUGCUCUACAAAUAUACAUGCGCAUCAUUUUCCUCCUCGCGUCUGGCUCUGGAAGGGAGGAGAGAGAAAGGGAUUCUAGCGGCAGCGUGCGUUGCGCCCCAAGGGAGAAAAUCAAGACGUUACACCCCGCCCCUCCUGUUUUAAAUACUGAUUCAGCCCGAAGCUAAGCUGAAGGGCAUUUUACUAAUGCUUUUGAAGGUUAGAAGAUAUUUUACCUUCUGGAGUUUCUCUGACUCACUUGAUGAUCUCAGCUCAAGCUUCCAGUUCAGGGGAGAUGAUCGAUAACCCCCUGUGACAUCUGAGUAAGUAGGUUCUUCUGUGUGUUGUGUGUAACUGCUUUAAAAAAAAGAGAGAAAAUUUUGUA